GACGAACGCUGGCGGCGUGCUUAACACAUGCAAGUCGAACGGAAAGGCCCCUUCGGGGGUACUCGAGUGGCGAACAGGUGAGUAACACGUGAGUAACCUGCCCUUGACUUCGGGAUAACUUCAGGAAACUGGGGCUAAUACCGGAUAGGAAUCCUUGCUGCAUGGUGGGGGUUGGAAAGCUUCGGCGGUUUUGGAUGGACUCGCGGCUUAUCAGCUUGUUGGUGGGGUAGUGGCUUACCAAGGCUUUGACGGGUAGCCGGCCUGAGAGGGCGACCGGCCACAUUGGGACUGAGAUACGGCCCAGACUCCUACGGGAGGCAGCAGUGGGGAAGAUUGCACAAUGGGCGGAAGCCUGAUGCAGCAACGCCGCGGGCGGGAUGACGGCCUUCGGGUUGUAAACCGCUUUCAGCAGGGGCGAAGCUUGUGGUGACGGUACCUGCAGAAGAAGCACCGGCUAACUACGUG
rnacentral:rRNA from 1 species